AGUCCAGCAUGCAAACCGUACGACCAGGCAGCCAUAGUGACAUACAAAAUUAAGCUAUUUACAUAAUACGUGAAAUUAAAUGUACAACAAUUUUCGUUUGAACAGACGGAUAAAUAUUUAAAGGAUUAACUUGAAGAGGUCCCUUCAGAUUUGAAGAUAUUACAUCCUAGUCUAAAACUUCACAAGGCAGCAGGGGAUGGUGGAAGGCAGAGUUCAAAGCUGAGACUAUCAAAUGACAGUCUUGAGUGGAUACACAUGACCAGGGAUAUUUAUUAAAUUUGGAAACAUUAAACCAAAGGACUAUAAUGGCUGAUAUGGAAUAUGAUUUCACUAUUGAUCUCAAGUAUGAAAUGAAACAAGAGAAAGAAGAAAGAAAUAAACAAAAUUUAACAACAUUUCCAUGUGAAAAACUAGAACAAGUGUCACAAAUAAAAAUUGAGAAGACUGAAUGGGAUUUAGUAGGUCUAAAGACACAGUCAUCUGAG
rnacentral:sRNA from 1 species